AACAGACAUUGGGACGGACACCCAGAAGAAGAAGAAGAAAUAUCUCAGCCUCUUCAAGAAGUUCGCGAAAGCCACAGGCCUCUUCUUCGCCGUGAUGACCGUCGUUCUUUUGCCAUUAUUUGCAGUUAAAGUGGUCAUUCUCUCUGACGACAUGGGCAGGCUUACUGCAUGGAACAGGAGGGCUGAGCUGCGAAUCUUUGACUUGGAACUUAAGGACAAUGCUGUAUCUGAGGAUGUUGAAAAGCUUGCUGCACGGACAGAACUGCAAAUGAUUGAGCUGAAACGUGAG